GGUUCACUUUAACACUGAGGCGUGACGACGAGGCACUACGGUGCUGAAGCAACAAAUGCCCUGCUUCCAGGAAAAGCCUCUAAGCAUCAGGUAACACGAAAUCGUACCCCAAACCGACACAGGUGGUCAGGUAGAGAAUACCAAGGCGCUUGAGAGAACUCGGGUGAAGGAACUAGGCAAAAUGGUGCCGUAACUUCGGGAGAAGGCACGCUGACACGUAGGUGAAGUGAUUUACUCAUGGAGCUGAAGUCAGUCGAAGAUACCAGCUGGCUGCAACUGUUUAUUAAAAACACAGCACUGUGCAAACACGAAAGUGGACGUAUACGGUGUGACGCCUGCCCGGUGCCGGAAGGUUAAUUGAUGGGGUCAGCGCAAGCGAAGCUCCUGAUCGAAGCCCCGGUAAACGGCGGCCGUAACUAUAACGGUCCUAAGGUAGCGAAAUUCCUUGUCGGGUAAGUUCCGACCUGCACGAAUGGCGUAAUGAUGGCCAGGCUGUCUCCACCCGAGACUCAGUGAAAUUGAACUCGCUGUGAAGAUGCAGUGUACCCGCGGCAAGACGGAAAGACCCCGUGAACCUUUACUAUAGCUUGACACUGAACAUUGAGCCUUGAUGUGUAGGAUAGGUGGGAGGCUUUGAAGUGUGGACGCCAGUCUGCAUGGAGCCGACCUUGAAAUACCACCCUUUAAUGUUUGAUGUUCUAACGUGGACCCGUAAUCCGGGUUGCGGACAGUGUCUGGUGGGUAGUUUGACUGGGGCGGUCUCCUCCUAAAGAGUAACGGAGGAGCACGAAGGUUGGCUAAUCCUGGUCGGACAUCAGGAGGUUAGUGCAAUGGCAUAAGCCAGCUUGACUGCGAGCGUGACGGCGCGAGCAGGUGCGAAAGCAGGUCAUAGUGAUCCGGUGGUUCUGAAUGGAAGGGCCAUCGCUCAACGGAUAAAAGGUACUCCGGGGAUAACAGGCUGAUACCGCCCAAGAGUUCAUAUCGACGGCGGUGUUUGGCACCUCGAUGUCGGCUCAUCACAUCCUGGGGCUGAAGUAGGUCCCAAGGGUAUGGCUGUUCGCCAUUUAAAGUGGUACGCGAGCUGGGUUUAGAACGUCGUGAGACAGUUCGGUCCCUAUCUGCCGUGGGCGCUGGAGAACUGAGGGGGGCUGCUCCUAGUACGAGAGGACCGGAGUGGACGCAUCACUGGUGUUCGGGUUGUCAUGCCAAUGGCACUGCCCGGUAGCUAAAUGCGGAAGAGAUAAGUGCUGAAAGCAUCUAAGCACGAAACUUGCCCCGAGAUGAGUUCUCCCUGAGACUUAGAGUCUCCUGAAGGAACGUUGAAGACGACGACGUUGAUAGGCC
rnacentral:rRNA from 1 species